CAUCCGGAAGUGGUCCGCUUCAUUUCGCUAUACAAAGAAAUUGCGAUUGAGGAAACAAGGGAUGAAGUCGCCACCUUUCCUUUUCAAUCGCGUUUCUUUGUAUAACGAGAUGGAUCGGACCGCAAAAUUUCUUAUACCUUCGUUUUCUGUGAUCUAUUUCCGCGUGCGUGUGUAUAUAAAUGCAUUUAUUAUAUUUGUUUUUUAUGGAUUUAUAGAAGACUAGAGAUUGAAUAUGCUGGCAGAUCUAUUAAGUGAUUUUGGAGUUUUUUAGAUUUUGUUGCGGAGUUAUAUAUAUAUAUCUGAGGACAAUUGUUCUUGUGCUAUGUACCUGAAAUCUCAUUUUAGAUUUGUUGGUAGUGAACAAAUUGACAAAUUCGGAGUUGAACUGUUAUCCUACUUUAUUAGGAAAGGUGCAUUUUCAAGGAAGUGUUAAUGGUAUAUCAAAAUUUUCUAUAAACCGCAUAAAUAUCAGAUCUCCGUUUUUUUUUUUUUUUUUUUUUUUUUCAAAAAAUCUGGAAAGGUUUCCAAUCAUGUAUUUACAAGAAGGUUCUGUUGGUUAAAAUUUGCUUCCGCAAAAUAUAUUUUGAUUCUCAGUUUCUUUAUUGAAUCUGUGAUGUGUUGAUUACUUUUGUUUUGAGUACUACGUACUCUAUUUUUAUACUUUCUCAACCUGGCACAAAGAGUAUUGUCUCUACUGAGGUUCUCAACCUGGCACAAAGAGUAUUGUAGUAUUGUCUCUACUGAGUUUAAAAUGAUAAAAAGAUGAGAGAAGCACCCGCGGGAGUGCAGAGCAGGUUUCGCCAUUGAAGAAUACGCCAAGUAAAGAGCAGGGCAAUGUAGUGUUUUGUGAAGAUGAUGUUUAGCUACUUUGUGUAGAGCAAUAUUAUUUUUUUGUGAAGAUGAUGUAUGUUUGUUGUGAUUUAUUAUCUAGAAAAAAAAAUGUAGUUCC